rnacentral:rRNA from 1 species
GAUGAACGCUGGCGGCGUGCCUAAUACAUGCAAGUCGAGCGAACAGACGAGGAGCUUGCUCCUUCGACGUUAGCGGCGGACGGGUGAGUAACACGUAGGUAACCUACCUAUAAGACUGGGAUAACUUCGGGAAACCGGAGCUAAUACCGGAUAAUAUUUCGAACCGCAUGGUUCGAUAGUGAAAGAUGGCUUUGCUAUCACUUAUAGAUGGACCUGCGCCGUAUUAGCUAGUUGGUAAGGUAACGGCUUACCAAGGCAACGAUACGUAGCCGACCUGAGAGGGUGAUCGGCCACACUGGAACUGAGACACGGUCCAGACUCCUACGGGAGGCAGCAGUAGGGAAUCUUCCGCAAUGGGCGAAAGCCUGACGGAGCAACGCCGCGUGAGUGAUGAAGGUCUUCGGAUCGUAAAACUCUGUUAUUAGGGAAGAACAAACGUGUAAGUAACCGUGCACGUCUUGACGGUACCUAAUCAGAAAGCCACGGCUAACUACGUG